CCUACGGGGGGCUGCAGUGGGGAAUAUUGCGCAAUGGGCGAAAGCCUGACGCAGCGACGCCGCGUGUGGGAUGAAGGUCUUCGGAUCGUAAACCACUGUCGGGGGGGACGAACACCAUGACGGUACCCCCAAAGGAAGCACCGGCUAACUCUGUGCCAGCCGCCGCGGUAAUACAGAGGGUGCGAGCGUUGUCCGGAAUCACUGGGCGUAAAGGGCGCGUAGGCGGCCUGAUAAGUAGGGGGUGAAAUCCUCGGGCUUAACCGCAGUGCUGCAUCCUAGACUGUCAGGCUCGAGCACGGCAGAGGCUGGUGGAAUUCCCGGUGUAGCGGUGGAAUGCGUAGAGAUCGGGAAGAACAUCGGUGGCGAAGGCGGCCAGCUGGGCCGUUGCUGACGCUGAGGCGCGACAGCGUGGGGAGCAAACAGGAUUAGAUACCCGUGUAGUC
rnacentral:rRNA from 1 species